AUACGGAGGGUGCAAGCGUUACUCGGAAUCACUGGGCGUAAAGCGCGCGCAGGCGGCUUGAUAAGUUGGAUGUGAAAGCCUACGGCUCAACCGUAGAACUGCAUCCAAAACUGUCAGGCUAGAGUGUGGGAGAGGAAGAUGGAAUUAGUUGUGUAGGGGUAAAAUCCGUAGAGAUAACUAGGAAUACCAAAAGCGAAGGCAAUCUUCUGGAACACUACUGACGCUGAGGCGCGAAGGCGUGGGGAGCAAACAGGAUUAGAAACCCUUGUAGUCC
rnacentral:rRNA from 1 species